rnacentral:lncRNA from 1 species
AACAUGAAGUAGGAAUGCUUGGAUUGGCUUAGAAAGCUUCAAACAACAAAUGGUCACAAAGGGGAUGAGCUUACGACCGUAAACCCUUUUUGCUAGUGACCACAAAACUGUAAACUCCCUGAUGGAGUGUUCCUUGAACCCCAAACACACUAGCCCUUCCCUACAACAAAUGGUCACAAAGGGGAUGAGCUUACGACCGUAAACCCUUAGCACUUAUAACACUUAUACAAAGUGUUUAUCAUGCCCUAGGAUGUAUUGACUUGUUUAUUAGUUGUUUAAAGACUAAUUGGAUACAUAUCUGUUAUAUUAUAUGUUAACUAGGAUCAUAUAGUGUGUUCAAGACUUCCCUUGACACCUAGCAGUCCUACAUCUUCAGUUCAUCCGUACCACUCACUACAGGUGAGUUCAUACCCCUUAAUCAAUGUUUUAAAUGUUUUUCAAUGUUUUUUUUGGGGGGCUGAUACAAGUAGAAUCAUGCUAGUUAUUAUAUCAAUCACAUGUGAUCAAUAAGCAACAUCCAAAUGAUUUACUACUCAUUAGCUGUUUUACCAAACAAUUUUCUUCAGAUGAUUUUCAUAAACAUUUUAUAUGUUUAAAACUCCUUAUUAAAUUGUUCAUUUUACACUGUAUGAUUAAUUUCAAACUCACUUACAAUUGUGUUUCAAACAAAUGUUUCUUUGUACUUAAACUGUUUUAUCAAACAAAUACUUUCAACUCGUUUUAUUGGCUGACAUCAAGUCGACCUUUUCUUAGAUAGUAAUCAUGUUCAAAGAUUUUACAAAACUUAUUUUAUGCUUUUAUAUUGUCAAUUUCAUGCCUAUAUAUGUAUAGUUAUAUAAGAAAUGUUUAAAGGACUUAGGAAGGCUAUCCACUCUAUUUCCUUUUCACCGUUGGGAAGUGGUCUGGUGGGUAUCAGGUAUCCGUCCGAGGGUCGUUUAAAUAUUAGUUAUGUAUCAUGUGUACAUAUAUAGUCAUAAAGGUUCUUCCAGACAAUUCAAUAGCCUUGGGUAGCAUGGGUAUACUUCCAUGUUCAUACGUACAAGUUAUAUUACUAGUAAACUACAACAGGCGUACCUUAGGGUUUUACUAAUACAAAUAGAAGAACAAUGAAUCAUACAAAGAGUUAGUUCAUACACGAGUCAUAAUACAUAGUGAAGAGAAACAAUCAUAAUACAUAGUGAUGAGAAACAAACAUACAUGCUAGAUAGAGAGAGAACACACGACACAGCUACCACACGCAGAACAUUACAGUACGCUACUAUAUUAUUACAUGAUUAUGCUUACAUGAGUACGUUUACAUAGAUACGUUUACAUGAGUGCAUUUACAUAUACGAUAAUAGAACAAACAUCACUAGGUGCUAUAGCAUGGAACGAUUUCAGGAUCUAACUAUACAAAUGAAUCACAACGCAUUGUGGUAGUUAUAUUGGGUAUAAGUGAUCAUAGUAAUGUGGAUGUUCACGGCUUGCAAAUAUGCAGGGGUCAUGUAUGGGUCCCAAAAUCCCUUUGACAGGGGAGCGUCUAGUCUGGGAUCUAGCCAUCACAUUAUGCCUUAUCCCUCAAAUAAGGAAAUAUUAGUACAAAAGUAGUCACUUAUUACAAAUACUACAAUACUUACGAGAUUACAAUAGGUUAAAGGUAGUUAGUACGAUUGUAGUUAUUUGAUACUAAACCAUAGUACUAUUUCAUUUUCCCAUUACAUUCACUUCGUGAACAUUCACACGAUGAACGGUAAUGUAUAAGCUAUAUUUUUGGUAAAUGAUAGUCAGAUUUGGGAAAAUACACACUCUUACAGGAGACACACACAGAUAUUAGAUGCCUCGGUAAAAGGCUACUCUUAGUAGGAAGCAUAGGGCUCCUAGGAUGUUCAAAACGUUUUCAUAAUUACAUUUCAAAUACAUACAAAUACUUACAUUUCAUUCGUACAAAUACUUACAAUUCAUAUACAUACAAAUACUUACAUACAAAUUUAGACACUAAUAUACUUAUGAUCUCACCAGCUUUAAAGCUGAUACUCUCUUUCAAAAUAACUUGUAUCCUCAGGUCAACAAUAGACAGGUACCGAUGCAAGGUUUAGAAAAGAUGAUGCUCGUUCAAGACUCAUCUUUCAUUUUGAUUUAUACUUCAGUGUCUAUUAUAAUUUGACCGAACUCACUUGUAUUAAAAUUAUAUUAUUAAUGAAAUGGAUGAUGUUGUUGCUUGUUUACUAUUUUUCAUUGUUGUGAUACUGUACAUGACGUCCUCCGCCCCAGAACGUUUCCGCCGUUCAUGGUUUUGGGGUGUGACAGAUUGGUAUCAGAGCAUUGUUUAUAGUGAAUUAAGUAUAUCAACCCAUAAAAGAUAUACAGACUAUAAAUACAAUGGGAUUAAAAUACUCUGACCAAGAGUUUAUNCAAAGGGGAUGAGCUUACGACCGUAAACCCUUUUUGCUAGUGACCACAAAACUGUAAACUCCCUGAUGGAGUGUUCCUUGAACCCCAAACACACUAGCCUUUCCCUACAACAAAUGGUCACAAAGGGGAUUCACAAUGCCUUAGGGACUUGUCUAGAUCCAUCUUUGAUGAGUUUAUCACCCAAAAAGCACAAAAAUAUCACAUUUAUAUGUGUUNUAUUAGUUGUUAAAGACUAAUUGGAUACAUAUCUGUUAUAUUAUAUGUUAACUAGGAUCAUAUAGUGUGUUCAAGACUUCCCUUGACACCUAGCAGUCCUACAUCUUCAGUUCAUCCGUACCACUCACUACAGGUGAGUUCAUACCCCUUAAUCAAUGUUUUAAAUGUUUUUCAAUGUUUUUUUUGGGGGGCUGAUACAAGUAGAAUCAUGCUAGUUAUUAUAUCAAUCACAUGUGAUCAAUAAGCAACAUCCAAAUGAUUUACUACUCAUUAGCUGUUUUACCAAACAAUUUUCUUCAGAUGAUUUUCAUAAACAUUUUAUAUGUUUAAAACUCCUUAUUAAAUUGUUCAUUUUACACUGUAUGAUUAAUUUCAAACUCACUUACAAUUGUGUUUCAAACAAAUGUUUCUUUGUACUUAAACUGUUUUAUCAAACAAAUACUUUCAACUCGUUUUAUUGGCUGACAUCAAGUCGACCUUUUCUUAGAUAGUAAUCAUGUUCAAAGAUUUUACAAAACUUAUUUUAUGCUUUUAUAUUGUCAAUUUCAUGCCUAUAUAUGUAUAGUUAUAUAAGAAAUGUUUAAAGGACUUAGGAAGGCUAUCCACUCUAUUUCCUUUUCACCGUUGGGAAGUGGUCUGGUGGGUAUCAGGUAUCCGUCCGAGGGUCGUUUAAAUAUUAGUUAUGUAUCAUGUGUACAUAUAUAGUCAUAAAGGUUCUUCCAGACAAUUCAAUAGCCUUGGGUAGCAUGGGUAUACUUCCAUGUUCAUACGUACAAGUUAUAUUACUAGUAAACUACAACAGGCGUACCUUAGGGUUUUACUAAUACAAAUAGAAGAACAAUGAAUCAUACAAAGAGUUAGUUCAUACACGAGUCAUAAUACAUAGUGAAGAGAAACAAUCAUAAUACAUAGUGAUGAGAAACAAACAUACAUGCUAGAUAGAGAGAGAACACACGACACAGCUACCACACGCAGAACAUUACAGUACGCUACUAUAUUAUUACAUGAUUAUGCUUACAUGAGUACGUUUACAUAGAUACGUUUACAUGAGUGCAUUUACAUAUACGAUAAUAGAACAAACAUCACUAGGUGCUAUAGCAUGGAACGAUUUCAGGAUCUAACUAUACAAAUGAAUCACAACGCAUUGUGGUAGUUAUAUUGGGUAUAAGUGAUCAUAGUAAUGUGGAUGUUCACGGCUUGCAAAUAUGCAGGGGUCAUGUAUGGGUCCCAAAAUCCCUUUGACAGGGGAGCGUCUAGUCUGGGAUCUAGCCAUCACAUUAUGCCUUAUCCCUCAAAUAAGGAAAUAUUAGUACAAAAGUAGUCACUUAUUACAAAUACUACAAUACUUACGAGAUUACAAUAGGUUAAAGGUAGUUAGUACGAUUGUAGUUAUUUGAUACUAAACCAUAGUACUAUUUCAUUUUCCCAUUACAUUCACUUCGUGAACAUUCACACGAUGAACGGUAAUGUAUAAGCUAUAUUUUUGGUAAAUGAUAGUCAGAUUUGGGAAAAUACACACUCUUACAGGAGACACACACAGAUAUUAGAUGCCUCGGUAAAAGGCUACUCUUAGUAGGAAGCAUAGGGCUCCUAGGAUGUUCAAAACGUUUUCAUAAUUACAUUUCAAAUACAUACAAAUACUUACAUUUCAUUCGUACAAAUACUUACAAUUCAUAUACAUACAAAUACUUACAUACAAAUUUAGACACUAAUAUACUUAUGAUCUCACCAGCUUUAAAGCUGAUACUCUCUUUCAAAAUAACUUGUAUCCUCAGGUCAACAAUAGACAGGUACCGAUGCAAGGUUUAGAAAAGAUGAUGCUCGUUCAAGACUCAUCUUUCAUUUUGAUUUAUACUUCAGUGUCUAUUAUAAUUUGACCGAACUCACUUGUAUUAAAAUUAUAUUAUUAAUGAAAUGGAUGAUGUUGUUGCUUGUUUACUAUUUUUCAUUGUUGUGAUACUGUACAUGACGUCCUCCGCCCCAGAACGUUUCCGCCGUUCAUGGUUUUGGGGUGUGACAGAUUGGUAUCAGAGCAUUGUUUAUAGUGAAUUAAGUAUAUCAACCCAUAAAAGAUAUACAGACUAUAAAUACAAUGGGAUUAAAAUACUCUGACCAAGAGUUUAUACUUUAAAUAAUAAAAUAUUUAAUUAAGUAUACUUGCCUGCAAUCAUAUUAAAAUCAGUGUCACUAGGACAGUACAAAAGAAUUACGAUUGUUGGGCAACACAGGUGGACUUAGAGACAUAUAGUCAAAACUGGGAAGAUAUAGCCUGAUCAACUAUAUUAUCCGAGGGUUGACUAGUAUGUGCCUAAGUGUAGUUGUGUGGUUGCAACAAGUCUAAAAUCUUACGAACAAUACCACAAUUAGAACAGUAGAACAUAACAUUAAACUUAAAAUACUAUAGGGGUAUUUGAUGUUACUAUAGAUACUUUAUACUUGAGAACUAAAAUGAGAUCUUCAUUACUAAGUUGAUAGUUGCUAAAGUGGAUACACUAAGGCUAUAUGUAACUAGGAUGUUAUAGACUUACAAUCUGUGAAAAUUUUGCUUUACCCCUAUUCUGUGUGAAUUUGGAGUUAAGGUCAAUUAUUCGAAGGCCUAUCCUGUUUCGAUUACAUAUAAUUGGUAUACACUUCACAAAUAGUGAUGUAACUAAUGAAGAUUUUCUAAAUAAUUAUCUAGAUAGUUCGUCUAAUAAUUAUUUUCUUACCCCAAUUCUCGCGUAGAUAACAUGGCUGGACUCCAUCCCCACGGCAACCACUACCUUCCGAAUGAAGUCAUUGCUGGAUGGUUUGGAGAAGAGCCAGAGAUUGAUCAUCCGAUCCCUUUGAAUGAUCACCAUGGUGAAGACCUUUCAGAUAAUGCUAACUCCGAACCCGAGGUUGAGAACCUACCCCGGACAUCUCCCUUUCCAGUACCUAACCCUCAUCCGGCUUUUCAUGGCCCGACGCCUCAGUGGGUGGAAUGCUUGGAAACAUGGAGCCAAGGACAAGAUCAGCCCAUGCCGUUUAAUGGUGACCGAAGCUUUUAUGACCUGAGCAAUAGGGGCUCAGCAGACAGAAUCUUGCCAAUCCUGGUCCGCAGAGUGGCUCCAAAAGAGAUUCAAGGCAUGACAGCCCUACAUCAGAACACAGAAGUUGUCGCCGAUACGGGAAUGCAUACCCUCCGCACCAUUCAUCUAGAAGAUUCUCGUGAGAUAUCUGAGAGAGAUCAUGAAGCCCUGCUUCAAGCACUGGCUGAAUCACGAGCCGAAGUCAUAAAGCUCCGAUUACGCCAUAGGGUGUACGAAAGACACCUACUUGAUGUCGAACGUUAACUGGGUGAACUGAGAGUUCACCAGAGGGAUGACCGUCGCCAGUAGUAGUUGCUUUACUUUAUUUUCCUUGUUAAAAGGAAUCGUUUUAUUGUCUAUGCCCAAUAUGGCAUUUUCUAUGAAACUAUCGUGUACUGUGAGUACUUUAGUUAGGUCUUUAUGAUGUCAAGGACUAUCUACUCUGGAUAUGAUGUAAGACCUGUUACAAGGUCAUUUUCCCGAGCUUUUACAUCAUGAAUAUCAAAGAUAUUGACAGUCGGCUAAAUUCUGUGUCAUUCUUUAUUCAAAUACUUUCAUCGUGCUAUCAUGAGAGUCUGUUUGAAACCCACUCUAGAUCAGUUAUUGAACUAGGGUGUUCUAGCUCAGGGAUAAUUCCCAAUUCUUCUUCAAGGAUUGGAUCAGGUUAUUUACCAGACGAUGGUACCCUGUUUUAGACGUUGAGCGUCAUAAGACCAUACUACGAACAUACUUUUAUUCUUUACUAGGACUGCAUCAUAGGGAUGUAGGGCGAAUCUUUGCAAACAUACUUCCAAUCCGUACUAGGACUGCAUCAUAGGGAUGUAGGUCAAACUUUUGAGAACAUACUCUUACUCUUUACUUGAGCAAUCGAACUACAUCUACGGUCAACAAAAAUCGCUCACAAAAUCCUUAUCUUUCGAAUUAAAAAAUCAUGUAUUCAUCCGGAAACAGCCAGCCGAACAAAGAAACAUCUGCUUUUCCUAUGCACACCGCUACUUUCCAAGCCGCAGUUGCAGCUGCCAUGAUGGCUGCCGUGACAACUGUCCUUGCAAACCAUAACGCUAUCAAUGCAAGCAAUACCGACGAUGGGGUUGAAAAUCCCAAUCGUAGUAUCAAUCCAGGAAGCCAACAAACGAUAACAGUCGCAGGCUCACGAAGCCAUAACUCAGAAUUCAAGAAACGGAAGCAUCAAGCACAAAAGGGACGCAAGCAAUAUAAGGGAACGCUUCCAAAGUGUAGCAAGUGUAGCUAUCAUCAUAAUGGAGCCUGUCGGGUAUUGCAAUGUAUCAAUUGGAACAGACUGGGACACCUUGCCCGUUUCUAUGGAACCACCACCACUAGAGCCAGCCAGGGUUGCUAUUAUUGUGGUGAGAUUGGGCACUAUAAAAGAAAUUGCCCGAAAAGGGAGAUCAAGGAAAGAAACCACAUCCCCUUAACUUCUACUCGACACUUCACUUCCAUCACCAAUGUUGGUGCUGUCCAGAUAUGUCACCAAUGUGGGGAAAUUGGGCACCUCAAUAAGGAUUGUCCAAUAGCAAAGAACUCGGGCGCUGAUGGGAAGAUUCUCUGGAUCACAGCUGCAGGAGAAACUACGUCGGACCGUCGUUAGAGUAUCUAAGGCGUUUGUUGUAACAGACUUAUAAAACCAUCCAAAAGCAGUGCAACUAGAGUCUUAUCUUUUGCGAGAUCCCGUCAGUAAAGGGAUGCUUGUGCUUCAUAUACUUGUCUUUUGUAGUAUACCUUAUUUGCAACAAUAGUGCUGUAGUAAGUCUAAAGUACUGUAACUCUGUUGAUGGUUGCACAGUUGUGUUUUAUCUGUAACGCCUUAUGUUCAAAUUGAAUGUCUUUAAGUUUCCUUCUGAUUCCGACAUUUCCAUACGACUAGAUUCAAUUUGAUUUGCACAAUACUAGCUUCAUUCGUACAUCUCUUUCUCAGUAAACGUCAUUUUAACGAAGCUGUAAUUCCAGAACUCGGAAGUACAUCUGCUUAGAGUACCUCAUGUUUCUUAUCCUUUUUGGAGAUAGCUUAGCAAACCUCCCCGCAGUACCACUUGUACAGUACGUCAAGAUCAAUCCAAAGAUCGAUAUGGUUGACCUAUCACUGAGGAAUGUAUAUAUAGGGGUGAUAUAUAAUCAAAGUUCUACAGGUUUAGAAUUGAUGAUUCCACUUUAACUUCUUUUCCUCGUUGGGGUGUGAGCUUAAAGAAGAAUCAGUUAUUCGACUACCUUUUCGAUCUUAAUUAUAUACGACUUGUAUACACGAGACUGCGAUUGAUGAACCAUGUAUGACUUCUAAUAUGAACUUCAGGACGGAGACUGCCCAAGACUGCGAGUGAUCGCAUCGUCAUGCGAACAAACUUAGAACCCAAUACGACUUCUAUAAACAGAUCGCUCUACGGUCUAACGCCCAUGGAGAUACAAGAACAAUCUGGACAACUUAGCGAACUACUCAAAAAUAGAAUUGGAAGACUAGGCUUCUCACCCUGGAGAGCUCCGGUCUUAUUCUUCCAGAGGUAGACAAAUUGCAUCAUAUGUACCUCGGCUAUCGGGGACUCAUCAAGAUUUCAAUUAGAAAUCAUUAUCUCUGCCUCGCAUGAAUGUGUGGGCUAAGCAAACGCAAGGAACGAUUUACCUUUCAGGAAUCGACCGAGAUCCGAAUAUCAGCAGUUUCGAGUGAUAGGGAAGGAUGUCCCAAGACUACCUUCCGAACUCGAUGCGGACACUUCGAGUCCGUAGUGAUACCCCUCGGAUAGGACCAAUACAACCAUAGCAUUCAUGACCUUAAUGGGUAGGGUAUGCCAUUCUUACUUGGAUCAGUUCUUCACUCUCCUUGUAAUUAUUUACUUAUCUACCUGCGUAGUUAGAAGGAACCCAUGGAAACAUUACCCUCAGAGAAACUUUUCGGGAAGUUCUCUAAAUACGAGUUUUGGAAUUGAAGAUUCAAAUUCCUUAGACACACUACUAGUGAUGUGGAAAUUCUUGAGUACUCUGUCAAUUUAUCCAAAACCGUUGAGAAAUUUUCGGCACUGAAGACGCUUUCGAAAUUCACCAAAUUUAAGGUCUCGUCGACUUACUGUCGGGAGUCCAUUCAGAACUCCAUGCGAAUUACGGAAACCCUUACGACUUUGAACCAGCAGAGGGUGGCCCUUGACUGGGAAGAUAAGCAAGAAACCUUGAAAUUCCUAGUGAGAGACCAAAUUCUUUAGGAAAUCUCACUCUAGGAAUGGCUUAAUAUGCUUCGUAAAGCGUGGGAAGCUGAAUCCAAGAUGUUUAGGACCUCCGAGAUUCUUAUGGGAAUCGGUCCAGUAUCUCAUAGACUAGACCUACUCCGCGAGCUUAGUAACAUACAUUCUACACUUCAUGCUUCGAACUUGUAAAAAGUAUCGAUCCAACGAGACUCUUGAAAUCCCACUCGGAGAAAUCGAGUCCCAUAAGAGCCUCACCUACAUGGAAGAACUGUAGUAACCAUGGACCGAGAGGUCAAGCAGAUGAAACAAGGUCGUAUCCCGAUAGUCAAGGUUCGCUGAAACGACAAGCGAGGACCGGAAUUCACUUGGGAGCGUGAGGAUCAGAUGAAACUGAAAUAUCCUCGUCUUUUUACUUAGUUAUUUGCAACUACUUAUUUGCUUAAAUUCUAAUUUCGGGACAAAAUCCCUUCUAAGGAGGGGAUGAUGUGACAACCCAAAAUUUCUAUUAUGUACAAACAUAUCAAGUCAAUAGAAGUCAUAACAGUUGCUGUCAAUUUUCAGACUUUUUAGAGUAAGUUUGAGUAUUUCCAGAUUUCACACUUUAGUGAUAACAGGAGAGAGGAUGCACUAGGGUUAUUGUGCAAUGCAGUUAUUCCAAAACUCUAAGAAAUUAGAGUUUACUGCUUGAAUAAAAUAUUUUCUGACAAAAACCCUAAAUCUGAGAGUAUAUAUAGAAGAUCUAGUCAUUAUUUUCACUUUUUCCAAAACUUCUCAAGAUCCAAAACCAUUCUCUCUCAAGUAUCAUCCAAAAAGAUUUUCAAGAUCUUCAAUCUACUAAGUGUUUCUAGCUUCCUUAAGGGAUUGUAUGCUUAGAUCUAGUGUUUUAAAACACUUCUAACCUUGAAAUCAUUCCAAAAAGGUUGAUUCUUCCUUCUCACCAAGAACACCAAGAGCACACACUAGUGUUCUUGGACUUUAAGUUCAUUUCAUGCCUCCACAAAGUAAGUACUUCUAUCCUGGAGUCAUUUAAAGCUAACUAUACAUCUUAAUAUCAAGGAAAUGUCCCAAGAACACCAAGAACACCAACAACAAGGUGUUCACAAUUUUGGGAGGCUCCCAAAACCGUAAACACCAAGUAAGGUGCAAAGUGGUGACUUAGAGUGCCAAGAUGCUUCACAAUGCCUUAGGGACUUGUCUAGAUCCAUCCUUGAUGAGUUUAUCACCCAAAAAGCACAAAAAUAUCACAUUUAUAUGUGUUUAUGGUUUGGGGAUGUCCCAAAACUGUAAACACCCCAAAAAGUGUAUAAAUGUCCCAUAUUUACUCCUUAUGCCUAGAAUCUAACCUAUGCUAUUACCUUGAUGUGUUUAGGAAUUUAAAACAUCAAAAUACCUAAGUCCAUGAGAGUCUACGGUAGUAAACUCAUGGAGAAAUGGUCCAUAGACCGUACACUCCAUUUAGGAGUGUUUUGAUGUCACACAACACUUUCUAAGGCUUAAACAUGAAGUAGGAAUGCUUGGAUUGGCUUAGAAAGCUUCAAACAAAAAAUGGUCACAAAGGGGGUGACCUUACGACCGUAAACCCAAGGGUUUACGACCAUAAACCCUUUUGGUAGUGACCACAAAACCGUAAACUCCUUAAUGGAGUGUUCCUUGAACCCCAAACACACUAGCCCUUCCCUACAACACUUAGAUGCAAUCCUUAGCAUUUAUAACACUUAUACAAAGUGUUUAUCAUGCCCUAGGAUGUAUU